AUGGCGGCGCUUGGACGCGCGGCGACGAGGCUGAUCCACCGAGCUGUCGUUAGAGUAGAGCAACGCCGCCCCGUCACCCUGUUGUCGCCAAGGCUCAUCCACACCCAGCAGAAUUCAAGAUCCCCGUUCUCCCAGAAAGAACACCUUGUGUCGCAAAUCAAGCAAAAGAAAGAGGAGUUAUACGAUCUCAUCGCUAACGCCGAGGCGGCUUCCGUAGCUUCUGGGUCAGACAUGCGUGUGCUCUCGACUCUCUGCACACGAAUCGAGCCUAGACCACAUGACCCUCAAUGGCGCCGGAUAACCAGAACCAAGAAGGUGGCCAAUUGGACUGCGGCGUCCAUCUUUUUUGUUGCUUCUGGAAUGAGUUUAUGUGGCGUGGUUGCCCGUGCUCCCCUAAUAGAGCAUGAAGGAGUGUACUACACUGCCGAGAGUGUGCACCGGCUAGUGGAGCAAGGCUGCCUGCCUGAGAGUGUGCUCAAGCAAGACAAGGGCCGAUGGGUCGCCGCGUGCUUCCCAAUCCAGUCCCCACCCCAAGUCCUCUCUUGUGUGGUGGCGUUGUGGCGCCACAGUGGUCGCACCCAUUCAAUUGUGGAGUUAGAAGAUAAAAGAAAGAUGUGGUUGGGUCGAUGCCCUAUUCUAGGACAGUUGUUUGAGAAGAAAAUUUUUGAUGCUCUAAAACUCACAACGGCAACCAUGCAUUGA
rnacentral:rRNA from 1 species